UACGUAGGGUGCAAGCGUUGUCCGGAAUUAUUGGGCGUAAAGAGCUCGUAGGCGGCUUUGCAAGUCGGGUGUGAAAUCCCCAGGCUUAACCUGGGAACUGCAUUCAAGACUGCAUUGCUAGAGUAUGGGAGAGGGAAGUGGAAUUUCCGGUGUAGCGGUGAAAUGCGUAGAUAUCGGAAGGAACAUCAGUGGCGAAAGCGACUUCCUGGACCAAUACUGACGCUCAUGUGCGAAAGCGUGGGGAGCAAACAGG
rnacentral:rRNA from 1 species